GACGAACGCUGGCGGCGUGCUUAACACAUGCAAGUCGAACGGAAAGGCCUGCUUUCCCUUGUGGAUUGCGGGUACUCGAGUGGCGAACGGGUGAGUAACACGUGAGUGAUCUGCCCCCAACUUGGGUAUAAGCCUGGGAAACUGGGUCUAAUUCCCGAUAGGACUGCAGGGUGGUGCCUGUGGUGGAAAACGAUUUUCUAGUGGUUGGGGAUGAGCUCGCGGCCUAUCAGCUUGUUGGUGGGGUAAUGGCCUACCAAGGCGGCGACGGGUAGCCGGCCUGAGAGGGUGGACAGCCGCAUUGGGACUGGGAUCCGGCCCAGACUCCUACGGGAAGCAGCAGUGAGGAGUAUUGCACAAUGGGCGGAAGCCUGAUGCAGCGACGCCGCGUGGGGGAUGACGGCCUUCGGGUUGUCAACUCCUUUCGACCGCGAGGAAGCCACCUGGUUGGAAGGGUGGUGACGGUAGUGGUAGAAGAAGCACCGGCUAACUACGUG
rnacentral:rRNA from 1 species